rnacentral:misc_RNA from 1 species
AAAAACAAUAAACAUAAAUUUUUGACAGCUGUAAGCGUCCAUUCUGUCAGCUGAGGCCACAUCUAAUAAUAAUAAGUGUCGUCCGGACGAUAAGUGUCAUCUAGAGACGAUAGGCGUCGUCUGGACGAUAAGUGUCUCUCCCUAUUGGCCAAAAGUGACGGCGCAGCUUUGCCAUAGGCUUCGUCCAGACGUGCGCGACCAUGUUGGACCUGGUAUAUAAGGCUCGAAAAUGAACGUAGAAAUCCAUUCGCUUUAUCGUCUCUGCUGCUGAGAAAGGGAUAGUACUUGCAAAGUUGUGAGGAUCACGUGUAAUACACAAGCAUGGGUUGCGAAGACCAAGUGUCUGUCGAGAUUCUACCGAUUAUAUGGCCAAUUGGUUCCUCAUUAACUGAGGUAUCCAAGAAAUAUGCAAGAUUAUGUUGCAGAGUUGUGUUCUGCUUGUUCAAUUGGUCUUGUUGACUCCCUCAGACUUGUUGGGUUUGUAUUCUCUUGGUGUCUGGUGGAGGUUGCUGUGAAUUUUUGGCUUAAGGAGUUUUGAUUUGUUGGUUUGUUGUCUGUGGUGGUUGGCUACAUACAUAUGCUGGCAGUGGUGGGUGCAGGCAGCUUAGUUCAGCAGCUUUUAUUGUGUGAUUUGGAAAUGGAUGGUUUUCUGUUUCUCAGUCAAGAUGUCCUGGUGGUGGUGUCUGUUCCCACAUGGAGGUCAUGGAAAUGCAAGAUAGCUUCUCUUUUUAGAGGUGUCUUCUUAAGUGGGUGAGUUAGCGCUUCUCUUUUUAGAGGUGUCUUCUUAAGUGGGUGAGUUAGCUUACAUCUUUCGAUAUUUACAUGCAAGCGUGGGUUUGUUUUGUGUGGUCUAUUAACUUCUAUUUUUGACUAAUACUUUUCUCGGUAUUGGCGUUGGUGCUUGGCUCUUCUCGUGAUUCCGCUAUCCGUGCUGCUCGGUCGUACCCUCGAUGUCGCCAUUGCAGGGUAGUUUACUACGUUGGUUGUUUUUAUGGUUGUAGAUUUGGUGUUCUGGGUUUUUCGGUUGUUGCUUAAACCCGAUCGGUAUUUGUGCAUCAAUUCGGUGGAUCUGUUAUGAUCUGGUUGAAAUGUUUUUUGCCACGUUCUAACUAUUUUCUGGGCGGUUUUUGAUUGCGAUUCUUGUGUUUUUGUUGGAUUUGUUUUUUGUGCGACCUGCACGUAUUUGGAUGUCACUAACAGUUUUCCGUUUGUGGGGUUUGUUGUGUGAGAUGACUUCGCAUUGCUCGGUAAGGGUGUCAAUUGGAUCUCAAGUUAAAAUUUCGUGUUGUAUCCAAGCUGUGUUCGGGACGUUAAGGUUUAGGGAAUUUUCUUCACAGAGGUAUGUUGCCAGUACUUUGUUUAUACGUUUCUACAAUUUUUUUAAGGACUUUAAUUUGGUUUUUUACACGAUGCAUGCGUUUCAUUCUUCAUAUUAUUUGCGUAUGGGAUAAGUUCAGUCAGGUGUUUUCUACUAUUUACUUGUGAUGUUUUAUUUGUGGUUGUUUUAUGUCAACUAAACCGUCUUCACCGUUGUUUUUAGGUAGGCUGGAGAUAAUGGCUGUUUUUUCAAACGCUUAUACUUUCUUCAUUCGGGUAUGCUGCACCUCUGUAAGCCACUGUUGGUAUCUGGGACCAAUUGGAUUGUUGACUUCAUUGGAUCAUAGUAAUUUAGUGAUGUUACUUUUGCUUUUGGUUAAACUGUCUUCCAGAGUUUAUCGGAGUGGGUAGUUUCCUAUUCCCGUUGUGUUGUUGGUGGUUGCUGUGUUGCUGUUCCAUACCAUAUCCAGGGUUGGAACGGUGGAUUCGAAGAUGAAAUAGUACCAGUGCCCGGGGUAAGUGGUUAGGGGUUUGUUAGAGUUUUGGUGAGAUGGUUUUCCCGUGAUUUCAGCAGUCUGCUCACAGAAACAACAGCAGCUGGUUGGUAGUCAUUUCCAAUAUGACGAUGUUCGCCAAGAAAUUUUCCAGCAAUCCAUAUUUAACGUGUUGGUGGCGUUGCACAUGCCUACUAUUAUGCAUUUACAGUUUUCAUCUGAUGGUUAUGUCAAGAAUUGGGGGGUGUUAGAUGUGGAAACUGAUGGGAAUGAAUCUUAGUUCUAGCUAGAAAUUAAUAAAAUUUAUUCUAUGAUUGAAAUAAAAUUCAUUAGGAUUAAUAGAAUUCUGCACAGUAAUUCUAAUUGUCUUAAUUUUAGUCAGCAGGUUUUUUACUAUUGGUGGAUUUUAAACGAGAGUUCUGUACAACUGCACUUUAGCUGGUAGGUAACUUGAAUAGCCACAAAGGUACGAAUAUUUAAAAAAGAAAUUUAGGAGUUUUAUUCAAAAAUAUAUUAUUUCUGAGUUUUAGCGCAGGAUUAUUUAUCAGUGAUAUGUCGCGAAUGAAUUGUACCGGUGUACUUAAGAAAAGAGCGUAUAGAGUGAUAUAAUGGGGGACAUCAUGCAAGUUGAGAAAUUUGAAUUUUUAUGCUAAUCUAACUUUUCUUAUUCUGUGUGUGGCUGUUAUUCGGCAGGAAUUUUUAAUAAGGCAUAUAUGUGAAGUUUUUAUUUACUUAUAAAUCGUGUACUAAUUUUGCUGAAGUACUCAAAAAUUAAUGGUUCAUUUACAUCCUUCUCAUAUUCAAACUAAUCAUCGGAACAUUCGUUCGUUUGUCGUUGAAAUGGAUGGGAAGAUGAAUAAUGUUGCGAAAUAUGCAAUAUGUAAGUUUAAAAACUUUGAAAAAACUUAAACAAGUUGUAAAAUAUCAUGCACUUGAUUUAGAAACAUGAUAAUUACUUUUUUUUUAUAGUCAGCCCUAGAAAUGUGUAUAAUUUUUUAACAGCCACUAUUUUUUUAUCUAAGCCGAUAUUGUUUUUUCUUAUCCCAUCUAAUUCUGGUAAAAUGAACGUGUCGACAUUUUAUUACACCACUGAUACUGUUGCAGUAGGAACAACUA